CCUACGGGCGGCAGCAGUGGGGAAUAUUGCACAAUGGGGGAAACCCUGAUGCAGCGACGCCGCGUGAGUGAAGAAGUAUUUCGGUACGUAAAGCUCUAUCAGCAGGGAAGAAAAUGACGGUACCUGACUAAGAAGCCCCGGCUAACUACGUGCCAGCAGCCGCGGUAAUACGUAGGGGGCAAGCGUUAUCCGGAUUUACUGGGGUUAAAGGGAGCGUAGACGGCAGCGCAAGUCUGGAGUGAAAUCCCAUGGCUUAACCAUGGAACUGCUUUGGAAACUGUGCAGCUAGAGUGCAGGAGAGGUAAGCGGAAUUCCUAGUGUAGCGGUGAAAUGCGUAGAUAUUAGGAGGAACACCAGUGGCGAAGGCGGCUUACUGGACUGUAACUGACGUUGAGGCUCGAAAGCGUGGGGAGCAAACAGGAUUAGAUACCCCAGUAGUC
rnacentral:rRNA from 1 species